UUCUAUAUGCAUUUAAACAUAACAAUAAUAAAAAAAUCGUGUUCGUUAAUGUUUUGAAAUACAAUUAGUAGGGUUUUUAACAUGAAAAAACAUCAGUGUAUAAUUUUACCUGAAUUGUUAAAUUUAAUUCGGUUUAUAGAUAAUUGUACCUACCAGAAAAAAUAUGUUCAACUACAAUAUUAAUGAAAUCGAAUAACACAGUUCUAUCAACAAUUGUAAAUAGCGAUCACGAACAUUCAAAUUUCAAUGAAAGACUAAGCUACAGACUACAAUUUUUAAGGAACAAUUGCAAGCAAAAAGCUUCUAAAUCAAUAUCUACAAGACUAGUAAGACUCGGAAGAACUGAAUAAAUAAGUUUCCAACAGAAACUGAAAUUAAAAAUAUUAAGGUCAUAAAAAAAGAAAUGUAUAUAGAACGUAGAAAAUUGUU